rnacentral:rRNA from 1 species
UACGGAGGGGGCUAGCGUUGUUCGGAAUUACUGGGCGUAAAGCGCACGUAGGCGGACAUUUAAGUCAGGGGUGAAAUCCCAGAGCUCAACUCUGGAACUGCCUUUGAUACUGGGUGUCUUGAGUAUGGAAGAGGUGAGUGGAAUUCCGAGUGUAGAGGUGAAAUUCGUAGAUAUUCGGAGGAACACCAGAGGCGAAGGCGGCGACCUGGACAGAUACUGACACUCAACUGCGAAAGCGUGGGGAGCAAACAGG